CGGCCCGCGAGGGAGCGUCCGGUGGAAGCCGUAGGUGCGUGACCGUGCUGAGCGGAAGCGAAGCGCCGUAAGGCGUGCACAGCGGGUGAGUCGGUGCCCAGCGACGAAGCCCAAAAGUCCAUGUCGAGCUGUGCGCGUAGUGGCGACAGGAUGGUCACGAAAUCCACUGGU
rfam:Deltaproteobacteria bacterium RIFOXYA12_FTLL_58_15 rifixya3_full_scaffold_1535, whole genome shotgun sequence.